GUGCUCACUUCAGCAGCACAUAUACUAAAAUUGGAAUGAUACAGAGGAGAUUAGCAUGGCCCCUGUGCAAGGAUGACAUGUAAAUUUGUGAAGCAUUUCAUAUUUAA
rnacentral:snRNA from 1 species